rnacentral:rRNA from 1 species
UACGUAGGGUGCAAGCGUUGUCCGGAAUUAUUGGGCGUAAAGAGCUCGUAGGCGGUCUGUCGCGUCGGAUGUAAAAAUCCAGGGCUCAACCCCUGGACCUGCAUUCGAUACGGGCAGACUAGAGGUAUGCAGGGGAGAACGGAAUUCCGUGGUGUAGCGGUGAAAUGCGCAGAUAUCAGGAGGAACACCGGUGGCGAAGGCGGUUCUCUGGGCAUGACCUGACGCUGAGGAGCGAAAGUGUGGGGAGCGAACAGG